rnacentral:lncRNA from 1 species
ACUAGCAAGAGCUGGUUUCCCCUGUGAUUUGAGUGUUCACACUUUUGUUUGUGUAUCGUAGUCCUUUUUCAGAUAUGCCACCUGCAAGAUGAGAACAGAAGGACCAAGGAAAAUACCUUCCUGUUUUCAUCUCCCAGACAUGCAGAGGGUCCCAGAUGCCCUCCUUUGAAGAAGAAUCCCUAACACUUCCCCCACUCUUUUCAGGUGAAGCCUGUGGCUGGUGCUCUAAGCGGUGUCACUGUGUUUGCUGAGUGAAAUCUCUUGGAAAAUCC